rnacentral:lncRNA from 1 species
GGCAAUGUUGCCCGUUCUUUUCAAGAUGGCUGCUGGCAUUGAUACAGGAGUGAUGGCUUUUCCCGAUUCCUGACUGACGAUUUUCCUGGUGUUGUGGAAGUGAGGACUACAGAAGCAGAUUGCUGAUUCAAAUAUGUUCCAGCAUUUCUUCUGUAGUGAUUUCACAGCCAGAUGAAGUCCGAGAUUCUGCAGUGCUGUCUAAUGUGCUCAUGGUUUAGUGCAGCCAGCUGAUAAAUGGUGUGGUGAGCUGCUGCAUUGUGCUGGUGUGGUGAGCUGCUGCUUAUUCUAACAGAUAUCAAAUAUAUUUUGUCUGCCUCAAUAGUAGAACUUAUUCCAAACUGAUAUCAUGGUAUCCUCAUUCCUAUACAUAUGAUUGUUUGUUUGAUUUUAUGGUGAGGUUUGAUUGGUUAGUGAAUAAUAAAUAACAUUUAUAUUAA